GCAGGUACAACUUGAAGCAGGUAGGGGGCUUCCAGGUCACAGGUAGGUGAGAGAUAAAUGGUUGCAUAUUGAAUUUCUGAAGCCUUUUUGAAGGAGGCAGUCAGAUCUGCCUCUAGCUCAGUGAGCAGAGGGAUGACCUUGAAUAGAAUGGGAGGGAGGUUUGACCUAAGCAGUCCCCAGCUUGACUCUUCCCUUUAGUUUAGUAAUUUGGGGACCCCAAGAUUUUCCUUUCACAGAAUCUAAGAGUGGCAGUGGCCAACCCAGAGAUUUGCUUUAUCUAUGAUGGUCGUCUGAAACCUCUGCCCAUUCUUUGGAACACAGGCCAUAGAGGGAGUUGAGGCCCUUUGUUUUGGGUUAAAUGGAGGUUGCCAGGUAGAGGGUGCUAAGUGAAAAUGUUUUAUACACAACAUGCUGUUUACAAACAAUAGUAGUUCUCCUGUCCAGCCUGCCUCCGCUGGAUUUCUCUGUAUGUAAGUUCCCACCCCCUCCAUGCUAAUAAACCUUCUGUCUCCAGGUCUCUUCUUUGGCCUCUCAGACAUGGUGCCAUCCCUACUGGAGUCAAUAGGGGACUGGUAGGACAGUCCCACAAGUAGAAGAAACACUGAUUCAUUGGAUGCUUCAUGAGCACCUUCUCCAGGCUCCAGUUCCCUACGGAUGUGCCUCCUCACUCUUUGAAACUGAAACCAGAGAACCAAGUCAUGCGGAGGACCAGCUGCAACCACAAUGGAUCGGCCCUUCUGAGGUGCUGCUGGCCAGCCACCCUUCUGUUCUUAACCAGUGUUGAGACUUGGAUUCACCAGACUUGAGUAAAACCAGUCCCUUUGGGAUCCCUCCAGGGAAAACAGUCAUGGUCUUGUGAACCUUGGGAGGGCCUUAAGUUAGCAUUCAAAGCCCAGACAAAGACGCUAGAUAAGAAAUCAUAAAGUGAACAUGCGGCUUUCAGGAACUUUCUCUUGGCUUCCCCAAGGGAUCAACUCCAUAUUCUUUGGUAUUAUCUAAAUUUGGGUUAUCUAUGUAAUUUAUUAUCUUAGUCAAUGUGGUGUAAAAUGUUGCUCUAAAACCAAAAUAAAAGUACCCCUGACUGAUUCCAACCACAGGGGCAACAUUUCCAAGCCUCUUCAUGAUCCCACAACAUCCCUCCUCAGCAUGAAGCAGCCAGAAAGAUCGAUGACCAGAUUCCCCAUGACUGAGGAAUUGAUCUAUAGAAAAGGGGGACUGAAGUCAUCCCUGUUGUCCCAUAGAACUAACAUUUACAGUUGUUUGAAUAAACAUAGAAACUGACCCUCCCUAGCCUUAAAACUUGAAACUUACAUUUGUCUCAUUUGAGUUCCUUCCUCAGGAAAUCUACUCUCAGGCAAGAAACUAAAACUCACCGGAUCAUUUCAUCUGAACAACAAUAUUCCAGACCACUCAUCAAUCAUGAUUGCUUCCUUACCUCCAUGAAUUCCUGCUUUCCCACCUCCCUGCUUCCCUGCUAUAUACACCUCCCGAUUUUAGUCGGUCAAGGAGAUGGCUUUGAGACCUUAUCUCCCAUUCUCCUUGGCUGCAGCACCUGAUUAAAGCCCGCUUCCCUGUCAGUACUCAUUGCCUCAGUGAUUGGGAUUCCGUCCGUGCAGCAAGCAACAGGACCUAGACUGAACCCCUGGCAUUUUGGUAACAUCGAGACAGAGCCUCUAUUAAAUGGAGCUCCUGAGUAACUAGGAUGGACACAGUGCCCCUGAUGAACCACAAUGAACAUGAAGCAUGAGUUACAAAUAAGCAGCAUUGUUUCAAGUCACCAAGAUGUUCAUGUAGCUUAUUAUUGUAGCAUAAGCUAAUCUAUGUUUACUGAUACAACAUCUCAAUUUGUUUCUUUCUCUGAAGCGCAAGUUCUACUUCUCCUGCUGCCGUCAACAUUUCUAUAUGAUUUUACUUAUAGAAGUACAAGCUCAACAUAUCUAUUUCUAUAUUCAUUAUUUUUCCUCCCUAACCCAGAAGCAAAAGUCUCUUCCUGAUUUUUUUUAUUUUGGUCAAUGGUACGAACACUCUUCUAAAAACCUAAACUUCAUUCAAUCACUUACAGUCAUGUGCUGCAUAAUGAUGUUUUGGUCAUGACAGACCACAAAUACGAUGGUGGUCCCAUAAAAUUAUAAUGGAGCAUAUGCAGAAGCCUGAUAUGUGGCAUUUGAUACUGGCAUUGCAGAUUAAGUAGGGGAAAUUAUUGAUAUUCAGCAAUGCUGCUGGGAAAUUUGUUUUUCAUAUAUAUAUAUAUACAUAUAUAUAUACACACAUAUACAUAUAUAUAUAUACACACACACACACACAUAUGAUCUAGGUUUCUGUAAGUACACUCUGUGAUGUGUGCAGUACUGCAAAAUCGCCUAAUGAUGCAUUUCUCAGAAUGUAUCUCCAUUGUUAAGUGAUGCAUGACUAUUUUACAUUUUGUCCCCACUUUAUUUGCAACUCUGCCUUAUGGUUCCCACAGGUGCCUCCUUGAUUCUUGCUUUGGUCCCUCAAUUCUUGCACUAUUAUACGUCUUGAGUAAUUUUGCUGCUUUUAUUCUCUUCCCUUUUAUGAUCAAUUAUCCUUCCUUUGUCAUUAGCUAUUCAUGAAUGUGAUAAAAGUAAAUAUCUAGAUUAUAUUAUGCCUUUGCUCAAAACUCCGAUGUGUCCCCAUCAUCUACUGAAUAAACUCUCAAUCCUUGAUCUGGCAUUUAAGACCCUGCAUUCUUUCACCUCUAGUCUCAUCUCCCCUACUCCUUUGCAUGGAUCUUACAUGAGCACAACACCACAUAGCCCACCAUAAAUGGGAUAUAACCUGUGAUGGUUAAUUUUAUGUGUCAAUGUGACUGGGACAGAGGAUGCCCAGAUAUCUGGUUAAACUUUUUUGUUUUUUCUUUUUUUGAGAUGGAAUCUUCCUCUGUCACCCAGGCUGGAGUGCAAUGGCGUGAUCUCCACUCACUGCAACCUCCACUUCCCAGACUCAAGUGAUUCUCCUGCCUCAGCCUCCAAAGUAGCUGGAAUUACAGGCACGUGCCACCACACCCAGCUAAUUUUUGUAUUCUUAGUAGAGAUGGGGUUUUACCGUGUUAGCCAAACUGGUCUUGAAAUCCUGACCUCAAGUGAUCCUCUUGCCUCUGCCUCCUAAAGUGCUGAGAUUAUAGGUGUGAGCCACCACGCCUGCCCUGGUUAAACAUUAUUUCUGGAUGUGUCUGUAAGGAUGUUUCUGGAAGAGAUUUGUUUGAGUUGGUGAGCUGAGUAAAGUGAAUUGCCUUCCCCCAGUGUUAGGAUCAUUCAACCUUUGAGGGCUCUGAACAAAAAGUCAGAGGAAGAUGAAUUCUUUCUCUCUGCCCAACUACUUAAGCUAGGUCAUUGGUCUUCUCUUGCUCUUAGAUGGAGGAUUACACCAACAGCUCCCCAGGUUCUUAGGCCUGCAAGCUUGGACCGGAAUUUCCUUUACCAACAUUCCUGGGUCUCCAGCUUGCACACAGCAGAUUGUGAGACUUUUCUACUUUCAUAGUCAUAUGAGCCAAUUCCUUAUAAAAAAUCAUUCUAUAUAUAUAGAAUGAGUAUAUACUCUGAUAUGGUUUGGCUCUGUCCCCACCCAAAUCUCAUCUUGAAUUGAAGCUCCCAUAAUUCCCACAUGUUGUGGGAGGGACCUGCUGGGAGAUAAUUGAAUCAUGGGAGCAGUUUCCCCCAUACUGUUCCUGUGGUAGUGAAUAAGUCAUGACAUCUGAUGGUUUUAUAAGCGGUUUCCUCUUUCACUUGACUCUCAUUCUCUCUUUGCCUGCUGCCAUGUAAGAUAUUUCUAUGCUCUUCCUUUGUCUUCUGCCAUGAUUGUGAGACCUCCCCAGCAACGUAGAACUGUGAAUCCAUUAAACCUCUUUCCUUUAUAAAUUACCCAGUCUCGGGUAUGUCUUUAUUAGCAGUAUAAGAACAGAUGAAUACAUACUCUAUUGGUUCUGUUUCACUGGAGAACCCUGACUAAUACAUACCCUGAGCUUAUUUGCUCAGUGCUCUUAGAAUUAAUUUUCUGUCUUUGAAAUCCUUUUCUUCCCACAUACUCAUGUCAAAACCCAAGUUCACUUUUAAAACUCAGCUGAGAUGCCACUUUCUUCAUAGGAACGUCUCUGAUCCCUCCAACCAAAAGUGACUCCCCUCUCCUGGGACCCCUAAGGCACCUGCUCUGCUCUAUUUCUUGUUGUUGCAGUAAUUUCUCCAGAAGUCUUAUCUCCCCUACUGGACAGUGAGUUUUUUGCAUGAAGAAUGAAGUUUUUUACAUGAAGAAUACAAUGGCUAACCUUCGUGUUUUUCCAUAAACAUUAGUUGAGUAAAGAAGCACCAGGACAUGACCUCAAUUCACAGAAAAGUUGUGUGGCUAAGCAAAGAUAAUUCAUAUGAGAAUUUCACAUUUUGAGAAAACAGAGGGC
rnacentral:lncRNA from 10 species